GACGAACGCUGGCGGCGUGCCUAAUACAUGCAAGUAGAACGCUGAAGGAGGAGCUUGCUUCUCCGGAUGAGUUGCGAACGGGUGAGUAACGCGUAGGUAACCUGCCUGGUAGCGGGGGAUAACUAUUGGAAACGAUAGCUAAUACCGCAUAAGAGUAGAUGUCGCAUGACAUUUGCUUAAAAGGUGCAACUGCACCACUACCAGAUGGACCUGCGUUGUAUUAGCUAGUUGGUGAGGUAACGGCUCACCAAGGCAACGAUACAUAGCCGACCUGAGAGGGUGAUCGGCCACACUGAGACUGUGACACGGCCCAGACUCCUACGGGAGGCAGCAGGAGGGAAUCGGCGGCAAGGGACGGAAGUCUGACCGAGCAAGGCCGCGUGAGUGAAGAAGGUUUUCGGAUCGGAAAGCUCUGUUGUAAGAGAAGAACGAGUGUGAGAGUGGAAAGUUCACACUGUGACGGUAUCUUACCAGAAAGGGACGGCUAACUACGUG
rnacentral:rRNA from 1 species